UAGCAUAUCAAUAAGCGGAGGAAAAGAAACCAACAGGGAUUACCUCAGUAACGGCGAGUGAAGCGGUAAGAGCUCAAAUUUGAAAGCUGGCUCCUUCGGGGUCCGCAUUGUAAUUUGCAGAGGAUGUUUCGGAAGCAGCCCCCAUCUAAGUACCCUGGAACGGGUCGUCAUAGAGGGUGAGAAUCCCGUAUGGGAUGGGGUGUCUGCGUCCAUGUGAAACUCCUUCGACGAGUCGAGUUGUUUGGGAAUGCAGCUCUAAAUGGGUGGUAAAUUUCAUCUAAAGCUAAAUAUUGGCCGGAGACCGAUAGCGCACAAGUAGAGUGAUCGAAAGAUGAAAAGCACUUUGAAAAGAGAGUUAAAAAGCACGUGAAAUUGUUGAAAGGGAAGCGCUUGCGACCAGACUCGCCUCGGGGGUUCAACCGGCAUUCGUGCCGGUGUACUUCCCCCGGGGCGGGCCAGCGUCGGUUUGGGCGGUCGGUCAAAGGCCCUCGGAAUGUAACGCCUCUCGGGGCGUCUUAUAGCCGAGGGUGCCAUGCGACCUGCCCGGACCGAGGAACGCGCUUCGGCUCGGACGCUGGCAUAAUGGUCGUAAGCGACCCGUCUUGAAACACGGACCAAGGAGUCUAACAUCUACGCGAGUGUUCGGGUGUCAAACCCGUGCGCGCAGUGAAAGCGAACGGAGGUGGGAACCCUUACGGGUGCACCAUCGACCGAUCCUGAUGUCUUCGGAUGGGAUUUGAGUAAGAGCGUAGCUGUUGGGACCCGAAAGAUGGUGAACUAUGCCUGAAUAGGGCGAAGCCAGAGGAAACUCUGGUGGAGGCUCGCAGCGGUUCUGACGUGCAAAUCGAUUCGUCGAAAUUGGGUAUAGGGGCGAAAGACUAAUCGAACCAUCUAGUAGCUGGU
rnacentral:rRNA from 1 species